UAGGUUAACCCUUAUAGCGCCAGUCAAU
rnacentral:piRNA from 1 species